CUUAAAAUAAAGUGGUGAUCUUAACUAACCUAAAACUGAAUUUUUACUAGGAUUAAAUGUCAGGAAUUGUGAAAAACUGAGUUAAAAUGUAUUUGGCUAAGGCGUAUGAAAACUUCCAUCUUCAACUGUAUCAGUAUAACGUGUUGUCAUCCUUACUGCCGCUGAUUUGGCAGACCCAUUAAACACAAAUACUGCGUUUGUAAAUGGUGUUGGAUGUUGGAGUGUGCAUGUGAACCGACUUCAACUGUACAUACAGAACAAAAAUUCUGAAUUGCUCUCUAGUAACCGAUAGGACGAACGACCAGCCGGCUUGGGUAGCAAACCCUAGAUUUGUGUUGGGACUAUAUCUUGUGGAAAGAUGAAAUAGUAUGAAUAAAUUAAUCAAAAUAAUGUUAAUGAAAAUAUGUCAAUCAUUAUUUGAAGAUGUUGGUAAACCAUUUGUACAAAAGUGAUAAUGCCCUCAAAGUUGGUGUUUGGAGGAUAUAUGUAUAUAUAUUUAUAUAUCCUUUUAUGCAAUGAGUUUGUUUGUUCUAAAUGUUCCAUUGCUAUACUGGCUGGCAACGUUCUUAUCCUUUGCUUGCUAGCGAUCCAACGACAGUUAAUUUACAGUCAUGUCAAAAAGUGCAGCCAGAAUUACAGCUGCAUUUUUGUAGAAUAACAGCCACCAUUUAAGUAACAAUAUGGUAUGGCAGCUGAGCGAAGAGCCCUUACGGACCUCCAUAGUUUUUUACUAUAAUAGGGUAAAAUGUAGCAACUUGUUCCUCGUCAGUAUAGUGGUGAGUAUCCCCUCCUGUCACGUGGGAGACCGGGGUUCAAUUCCCCAAAGGGGAGGAAGGAAGGUUUAUUUACAUUUUACACCAAGUCCUCAAAGCAGAAAAUACGCUUGAAAUUCAAGCUUUCUGAUAUGAUUUCCAGCCUGUGGGGUAAAUUCUCUUUCACAAGGCAUUGGUUGUUUAGUGGUAGAAUUCUCGCCUGCCGCGCAGGGUGACUCCUGGGUUUGAUGCAACUGCUUUUGAACAUGGAUUUUUGACAAGUAUGCAAACCCCAGAGGCUAUCCAGAAAUAUUUAGUUAUGGUAGAAUUCUCAGCUGCCUCUUGAAAAGUCUGUGAGUCCUUUCAUUUACAGUUUGGACAUUUACGUCUUCACAGUAGACUUUUGUGAAUCCAUUGUAGAUUUCCAGUGCGUGAGUUGAUUUACUUUGUGCAAGGUUUUAUUUGUUAAAUGGGAAACUAAUAUCCAACUCGUCAGUGAUAACUGUUGAGUUUUGAGUUUGUGACAACAAAUGUAGAACAAUGCCUUAACUUCUAACUACUUUUGUGGGGCCCGUGAGCGGAGUGGAGCAAAACCGAUAACAUGGACGUGUCUGUGAGAGUCUCAGCUGUCCAUAGAUGAGUCACAAUUAUUUCAAUCACUACGGAUGUUUUUGUGAGAAGGGUUAGGGUUAACUCCCAACACUCCAAAUUUAGGCUUAGCACCCAACACUCCAACGUUUUUCACACGGCCGACCCACCGUCCUGUGCAUUAUAACUUGUCAGCACUAUAGCCACCAUUUAAGUAACAAUAUGGUAUGGCAGCCGAGCGAAGAGCCUUUACGGACCUCCAUAGUUUUUUACUAUAAUAGGGUAAAAUGUAGCAACUUGUUCCUCGUCAGUAUAGUGAACAUCAUGCCAAACAUUAGCACAUUGCGAAAGAACCCCAAGAAUAUAUGGAAACGUUACUGCCAAGGGGCCGUCGGAGACGGGACCACUCCCACUGCCUCCUCCUAAACCACCCCAGCUGGACCCAAGAAACGUGUUCCGCCUCCUAUGCCAACCUGCCACAAAAGAAAAGGUACAUUUAAAGUCAACAGUUCCUUCUGUGGCCGAUGCUAGGGGGGAGUUCCCUCCCACCAACGAGGACACACCGUCUUGGGUCCAGUGUGAAAACUGUGGUUUCACUUUAGUUGUGUCGGGUGGAAAGGGGAAGAAGAGGAGGAUGUACAAUAUAUAUAUAUAUGCACAUGGUGUAGCUCUUGAAAAACAAGUUAAAAUAUAUAUUUUUUUAUGUCUUGGGUGGAGGGUUAUGUGUUAUUCUAAUGAAAGUUAUAUAGCCAUAUAAGAACACAAACACUGUGUGGUUCUCUCAAUUCUGCAUUAGAUUAAAAACAAAAUUGUUCAAGUGAAUAUGCUCAACGGUAGAAUGUUUACUUGAUUCUAAGGUAAACUGAAAAGAAAGCAAAAGACAGGUUUAGACUGAUUAUUUUCCUAAUUACUAUUAUGUUUAAUGUUGAUACUCACACUAUUGCAAUGAAUGACUAAUAAUCAAAGAUGGUUUAAAUAUAAUGACAAGGCUUUUAAGGAAGAAAAUACCACAACCUUUUGCUUGUUAUUAUGCUUUUUUUUUGUUGGGUUCUUGAGAAUAGUGUACAAACAAAUAUCCACAGGGUGGCGACAUUCUGUAAAUAAUGAGAAUUGAGUCCCAUGAAGUGGCAGGAGUCGAUACUUCCAUUGUUGAUCGAUAGAAUUAGAUGACACAUUGGUUUGCGGUCUUUCGGACGACAGUCAGUAACAAAGCUGUACCUUUGUUUUUCGGCGGAUUUGGCACAACUGUACUGUGACUGGCGUCGGCAUGGCAGAUAGGUCGGAUGGUAGUGUUAGGGCAAUUGAUAUUGAUAAUGAUGAUGAAACCAAUGAUGAUCAGCUAGUUACACCGGUUGUAAAUAGUCGGAACAGGAGUACGAGAAAUCGCAGGCACUUGUUUGAAAUUGAAAAGCGUCUUGGUAGCAUUUGAUAAAGAAAGGACAUCAAGACGAUGCAGCUGCGUUAUAAGUGGGAUGCAUUGUUGAGUGCUACAUCACGAGGGGUUCGUGCUGAUUGUACGGAGACUGUGACAGACGUUUAAAUGGCGUCCCUUGAGAAAGCAAGAACAAGAUGUAUGUCAGAAGAAGUGCAGUAUU